GACGUAGGGCGCGAGCGUUGUCCGGAUUUAUUGGGCGUAAAGAGCUCGUAGGCGGCUUGUCGCGUCGUUCGUGAAAACCUGCAGCUCAACUGCAGGCUUGCGGUCGAUACGGGCAGGCUGGAGUUCGGUAGGGGAGACUGGAAUUCCUGGUGUAGCGGUGAAAUGCGUAGAUAUCAGGAGGAACACCGGUGGCGAAGGCGGGCU
rnacentral:rRNA from 1 species